GAUGAAGAACGUAGCGAAAUGCGAUAAGUAAUGUGAAUUGCAGAAUACAGUGAAUCAUCGAAUCUUUGAACGCACCUUGCGCUCCUUGGUAUUCCGAGGAGCAUGCCUGUUUGAGUGUCAUUAAUAUAUCAACCUUCUCUUUUUUGAGUUGUUUGGAUGUGGGGGUUUGCUGGCCUCUUAAAUGAUUCAGCUCCCCUGAAAUGCAUUAGCAGAACAACCUGUUCAUUAGCGUGAUAAUUAUCUAUGCUAUUGAAUGUGAGGGCAGUUCAGCUUUCUAACCGUCCUUGGACAAUUCAUCAUUAAUGUGACCUCAAAUCAGGUAGGACUACCCGCUGAACUUAAGCAUAUCAAUAAGCGGAGGA
rnacentral:misc_RNA from 1 species